UGAAUACGAGACGCUAAGGCGUCGAAGUAGUGUAUGUCAUACUUCCAAGAAAAGCUUGCACUGUCAUAGAUAAAAAACGCCUGUACCAUAACCGACACAGGUGGGUAGGUAGAGUAUACUAAGGGGCGCGAGAUAACUCUCUCUAAGGAACUCGGCAAAAUGACUCCGUAACUUCGGGAGAAGGAGUGCCUUAUUCUUAAGGUUGCAAUAACAAGAUCCAAGCAACUGUUUAUCAAAAACACAGGUCUCCGCUAAGUCGUAAGACGAUGUAUGGGGGCUGACGCCUGCCCAGUGCCAGAAGGUUAAAGAAGUUGGUUAGCAUUUGCGAAGCUGAUAACUGAAGCCCUGGUGAACGGCGGCCGUAACAAUAACGGUCCUAAGGUAGCAAAAUUCCUUGUCGGGUAAGUUCCGACCCGCACGAAAGGCGUAAUGAUUUGGAUACUGUCUCGGAGAGGGGCUCGGUGAAAUAGACUUGUCUGUGAAGAUGCGGACUACCUGCACCAGGACAGAAAGACCCUAUGAAGCUUUACUGUAACUUGAAAUUGAAAUUGGACUUUAUUCUCGCAGUAUAGGUGGAAGGCGUUGAUUAUAAUCUUGCGGGAUUAUUGGAGCCAUCAGUGAGAUACCACCCUUGUAAUGUUAGAUUUCUAACGUUGAAUCAUUAUCUGGUCAAAGAACAGUUUCAGGCGGGCAGUUUGACUGGGGCGGUCGCCUCCUAAACGGUAACGGAGGCGUACAAAGGUUUCCUCUGAACGGUUAGAAAUCGUAUCUAGAGUGUAAAGGCAUAAGGAAGCUUGACUGUGAGACCUACAAGUCGAGCAGGGACGAAAGUCGGUCUUAGUGAUCUGACGGUACUGAGUGGAAAGGCCGUCACUCAACGGAUAAAAGUUACUCUAAGGAUAACAGGCUGAUCUCCCCCAAGAGUUCACAUCGACGGGGAGGUUUGGCACCUCGAUGUCGGCUCAUCGCAUCCUGGGGCGGUAGUACGUCCCAAGGGUUGGGCUGUUCGCCCAUGAAAGCGGUACGCGAGCUGGGUUCAGAACGUCGUGAGACAGUUCGGUCCAUAUCCGGUGUAGGCGUUAGAAUAUUGAGAGGAGCCUUCUUUAGUACGAGAGGACCGAGAAGGACAUACCUCUGGUGUACCAGUUAUCGUGCCAACGGUAAACGCUGGGUAGCUAUGUAUGGAGUGGAUAACCGCUGAAAGCAUCUAAGUGGGAAGCCCACCUCAAGAUAAGUAUUCC
rnacentral:rRNA from 1 species